GGGGCGAUGGGGUGACCCCAUGGAUCCCAGUGGUGAUGAGGUAACCCCAAAGAUGCCAAUGGAGGGGCGAUGGGGUAACCCCAUGGAUCCCAAUGGAGGGGUAAUGGGGUGACCCCAAAAAUCCCCAUGGAUCCCAAUGGAGGGGUAAUGGGGUGAUCCUAUGGAUCCCAAUGGAGGGGUAAUGGGGUGACCCCAAAAAUCCCCAUGGAUCCCAAUGGAGGGGUAAUGGGGUGAUCCCGUGGAUCCCAAUGGGUCUCAGUGGAGGGGUGAUGGGGUAACCCCAUGGAUCCCAGUGGAUCCCAAUGGAG
rnacentral:lncRNA from 1 species